ACCUGGGUGGCUCAGUCCGUUAAGUGUCUGACUUCGGCUCAGGUCCUGAUCUUGGAGUUUGUGGGUUCGAGACCCACUUCAGGCU
rnacentral:tRNA from 1 species